rnacentral:lncRNA from 1 species
AAACAACAAAAAACUUAAAGAGAGAAAAACAAUUCAACCUCUCUCUCUCUUUUUCGGUCUUUAAGCUUAUUAGCUAUCUCUAUCUAUACUCAAGAACAUCAAUGGGGAAGGUUUGCUUUCCUCUUUACCCCAUUUUUUUGUGGUUUUAUUGUUUGGAGUUUUUAUUUUUUUGGGGGGGUCAUAGGAAGAGAAGAAUAAACUAGAAGAAGUGACACAAUUUAUAUAGUGAUGAUGGUGAGCAAUCUUCAAAUUGAAACAAGAAAUUAAGCCCUAUGUGGUUGGUGCUAAGAGGCCAGUUCUGUAUUAGGUAUUUGUUAGCACAUUGCAAUUGAAGAUUGAGCAUCGUUUGGUCUUGAUUUAGCAGUGCUUUUGGAGUUACUGAGUUGUGCCAACGCUCCUGGCUUUAUGUAUGUACAAUACAACGACAUUAAAGAUCUCAAAUUCCUGCUUCUUAUUUUUCAUUUUUCAUUUUUCUUAUUUUGGAACUUGAGUUGGAAUUAGAGAAGAGGUAUUUUUGGACGAAGGACGAG